GGGUAUAGCUCAGUGGCAGAGUGCCUGCCUGGCAAGUGCAAGGUCCUGGGUUUGAUUUCCAGUACCC
rnacentral:tRNA from 1 species